GAUGAACGCUGGCGGCGUGCCUAAUACAUGCAAGUCGAGCGAACAGACGAGGAGCUUGCUCCUCUGACGUUAGCGGCGGACGGGUGAGUAACACGUGGAUAACCUACCUAUAAGACUGGGAUAACUUCGGGAAACCGGGGCUAAUACCGGAUAAUAUAUUGAACCGCAUGGUUCAAUAGUGAAAGACGGUUUUGCUGUCACUUAUAGAUGGAUCCGCGCCGCAUUAGCUAGUUGGUAAGGUAACGGCUUACCAAGGCGACGUUGCGUAGCCGACCUGAGAGGGUGAUCGGCCACACUGGAACUGAGACACGGUCCAGACUCCUACGGGAGGCAGCAGUAGGGAAUCUUCCGCAAUGGGCGAAAGCCUGACGGAGCAACGCCGCGUGAGUGAUGAAGGUCUUCGGAUCGUAAAACUCUGUUAUUAGGGAAGAACAAAUGUGUAAGUAACUAUGCACGUCUUGACGGUACCUAAUCAGAAAGCCACGGCUAACUACGUG
rnacentral:rRNA from 1 species